rnacentral:rRNA from 1 species
AUGGAGCUUUCGAUAGGUCACCGGAGCAUCGUCGGGCCGCCAAAACAUUAUCAGUGCUGCAGUGGAGCUUCUCGGGUUGUCAGAGCAUCUCCGGUGCUGCGACGGAGCAUCGUCGAGCCACCGAAACAUCAUCGGUGCUGCAGUGGAGCUUCUCGGGUUGUCAGAGCAUUGCCGGUGCUGCGACGGAGCAUCAUUGAGCUGCUGAAACAUCAUCGGUGCUGUUGUGGAGCUUUCUCGGGUUGUCAGAUCAUUGCCGGUGCUGCGACGGAGCAUCGUCGAGCUGCUGAAACAUCAUCGNNNNUGCAGUGGAGCUUCUUGGGUCAUCGGAGCAACGCCAGGCCCCGAAACAUAAUCGGUGCUCCAGUGGAGCUUCGCGGGCCAUUGGAGCAUUGCCAGAGCAUCGCCGGUGCUGCGACGGAGCAUCGUCAGGCCGACGAAACAUCAUCGGUGCCGCACUGGAGCUUCUCUGGUCGUCGGAGUAUCGCUAGGCCGCCGAAACAUCAUCGGUGCUCUAGUGGAGCUUGUCAGCCGACGGACGGAGCAUUGCCGGAGCAUCAUCCGUGCUGCGCUGGAGCAUUGCCAGGUCAUCGAAGCAUUGCCGAAGCACCGCUGACGCUAUGGAGGAGCAUCGCCUGA